rnacentral:lncRNA from 1 species
CAUAUACACUUCUGCAGUUUAGGAAACAUCAUUGUGUAUUCAAAUUUCCUAAAAAUACUCAAUAAAUCAAACUUUGUUACAAGCUCAUCCAUGAAUUUUCUUCCCCUGCAACAAAGCCAAAUACUAAAUCAAACAUAAAAAAGAUGAACACUAACAGAAAUACAUGAAACACUACUUGUUGUGUAGAAGGAAGAGUUUCUCACAUGAGUUUGGCAAGGCUUACUAGCUCUAAGGCCAUUAGAUUUGCAACCAUUUUAUCGUCCCUUCAAUCGAUUUGAUGUAGGAAUGUGAGGAUGAGUUUCAGGACCUCUAUAAUCGAUAUCAUAAUUUCCUGAAUCAAUGUUUGAUAAAUUCCUUUUUCCUAUCAAGAAAAAAAAUAAACGUUUAGAUUAGUAAAUCCCACGUCACACAUCUCAUAGAGCGGCCCUGAGGAAAAGAAUCCUAGGUCAACACAUUAGCAUCCCUUGUUUAGUCUAAGAAUUUUUUAUUUUUUUUUGGGGGGGGGGGGGGGG